AGUGAACGCUGGCGGUAGGCCUAACACAUGCAAGUCGAACGGCAGCACAGUAAGAGCUUGCUCUUACGGGUGGCGAGUGGCGGACGGGUGAGGAAUACAUCGGAAUCUACUUUUUCGUGGGGGAUAACGUAGGGAAACUUACGCUAAUACCGCAUACGGCCUACGGGUGAAAGCAGGGGAUCUUCGGACCUUGCGCGAUUGAAUGAGCCGAUGUCGGAUUAGCUAGUUGGCGGGGUAAAGGCCCACCAAGGCGACGAUCCGUAGCUGGUCUGAGAGGAUGAUCAGCCACACUGGAACUGAGACACGGUCCAGACUCCUACGGGAGGCAGCAGUGGGGAAUAUUGGACAAUGGGCGCAAGCCUGAUCCAGCCAUACCGCGUGGGUGAAGAAGGCCUUCGGGUUGUAAAGCCCUUUUGUUGGGAAAGAAAAGCAGCAAGUUAAUACCCCGCUGUUCUGACGGUACCCAAAGAAUAAGCACCGGCUAACUUCGUG
rnacentral:rRNA from 1 species